CUCAACAGCUUCUGAACUUCCUGUUCCAAUGAGGACUUCCCACCGAUCGAAAGGAGCUCCCCAGGCCUUUGAGGGGCAGAAUAUCCAUCCCCGGUGGACCUCUGAAGCCGUGUCAAGCUUCCAGGAGUCCACCUUGUCCAAAGGAGGAAAGGAAAACAUUGAAAAGUGGCUAAUUGAUUCAACAAACCCUGCUGUGUUCUCACAAAGAUAUGCAGUGUGGCAAUAAAAACAGAAGAAUGACUGGUGUGCACAACCAAAUGUAUGGAUGAUCUUCAGAGCAUGGGGCUCAGGGAGAGAAGAGUGUCUCCAGAGGUUCACUUGGGGUGAUGACUGAGUUCCAUCAUGAAGAAUCGUUUGCUGCUGGGGCUUAAAGUGGGGGUCAGGGAAGUUUAUCUGGGUCAACCAGACACUUGUCUGUUCUGCUCUGGUGGCAGUCAUUCAGAUGUAAUGAAAUUCCAUUGAAUGAACUUCUCAAAAGAAAAACUGCAUAGAAAAAUGGGGAGGGGCGGGGAAUUGAGUAAGGUCUGCCAUUGGUGGUGUAUCUUAUCAGCUCUUCAUUUCUGGUAACUAUGCUGUGAUUCCGUAAGAUACCCCUAGGGAAGCUGGGUGGAUAAACAGAAACUCUGGACUAUGAUAGCCACUUCCAUGGACAGCUAAAAUUAUUUCAGGAGAGCAGGUUACGGUCCUGGAACUGCCCCCAGUACAGCACGGCCCUGAACACGGUUAUUUAACCUCAGUACUCUUGAGUCUUCCAUAGCAGGCAGAGGAGGAUGCGGCCAUGUGAUUUUUCUACCACUUGUAGUUCUUAGAGUAAAAAAGUCUGUACUGCAACCCCAGGUGUUUUCAGUUAUGGAAGCCUAUGGCUUCCAAGGAAAAGAAACACUCCCUAAGUAACUUCCUUGUGAAAUCUGUUGAUUGAUUUCUGGGGGCAAGUGGGUAUAGGUGUGCAUGUAUGUGCUGGCACAUGUGUGUGGAACCUAGAGGACAACACCUGGUAUUGUUCGUGGGGAGCGGUCUACCUUGUUUUUUGAGACAGGGUCUCUCGUCGGCCUGGAGAUUGCUAAUUCAGCUAGGCCGGCUGGUCAACAAACCCACGCAUCUCCCUACAUCCACCUCCCCAGCAGGAGUUACAAACAGUGGACAUCACCAUGCCAGGCUUCCCUGUCAGUCUCUGAUUCCAACAGCCCUGUGAUAAGUCCCUCUCUCUACCCUCCUGCAAUCCCAAGCUGUGGUCAAGAAAGUUCAUUCUUUAUUCUGCUCAUUUUACUUGGACUGAGCGUUCAUCUCACACUUGUAUUUACUAUUUCUGCCACAAAGAAGUAUGCUGAGCCCACGAGAGCAGUUCACAAGCAAAGAAGGUCCACUUAGGAAGAAGGGAUAGUCAAAGUACUGGAGAAAAAAAGACACCCACAGCAAGCAAGCAUGGCUUAUAGAGGAACGAGGCCCUUUCCAGGAAGCUGGAUCUGUAAUCAUGGGAUAAGCAGGAAGAUGCUUUGCUAUCCUGGCAAAAACAGCAUCUUUGGACCACACAAGGAGUGCUGAUAGCCACUACAGCCAAAGCUUACAUAACAAGGAACAAAUGCUAGCAAAGACCUCUACUAGAGAUUUUUAAGACCUCAAAUAACAUUGAUAGCCACGUGGCCUUUGUAUUACGAUGCUUCCUGCCAGAAAGAUAAUCCCACCUGAACUAACUUUUAACAAAGACAAUGUUUAAAAAAGAGAAAAAAGUUUACAGACCCUAUUCACAGGAAGUCAGGGGGUAAAGUCAGUUCCUGUGCUAGCCUGUAUAGCUGUGCUGUCUAAGAUGGCUUUUACUCACCAUUUAUGGCUAUUCACACUUGAAAUGUGACUAGCAAGAUUUAAAAUACUCUCUAAGCAUGUUAUACACACUAGAUUUCAAGGAGUUUAUACCCUCCCCCAAAAAAUGAGCAUAAAAUACCCCAUUAAUUUUAUAUUCUUAUAGCUGUGAUUGUCAUAUCUUGAAUAAUUAGAUUAGGUGGGAUAUACUGUUUAUAUUAAUUUGAUCUGUUUCUUUUAUAUGUGCUACAAGAAAAAUUUUAAUUACAUGUGUGUCUCACA